rnacentral:rRNA from 1 species
CCUACGGGAGUCAGCAGUGAGGAAUAUUGGUCAAUGGGCGUAAGCCUGAACCAGCCAAGUCGCGUGAGGGAUGAAGGUUCUAUGGAUCGUAAACCUCUUUUAUCAGGGCAUAAAAUGCGGGACGUGUCCCGUUGUGCGUGUACCUUAUGAAUAAGGAUCGGCUAACUCCGUGCCAGCAGCCGCGGUAAUACGGAGGAUCCGAGCGUUAUCCGGAUUUAUUGGGUUUAAAGGGUGCGCAGGCGGAUUUUUAAGUCAGCGGUAAAAUCGUGGGGCUCAACCCCAUCCAGCCGUGGAAACUGGGGAUCUAGAGUGUGCGAGAGGUAUGCGGAAUGCGUGGUGUAGCGGUGAAAUGCAUAGAUAUCACGCAGAACCCCGAUUGCGAAGGCAGCAUACCGGUGCACAACUGACGCUCAGGCACGAAAGCGUGGGUAUCGAACAGGAUUAGAUACCCGUGUAGUC